rnacentral:misc_RNA from 1 species
UCAAACUUUCCACAUUUGUUCAAACGAUCGAUAAAUUUAUCGUUAAAAAGAAGUUAACGAAAUCACCAACUACCGAUCAAUUUCCGUGUCGGUACAAAUGAUCGAUUCUUCGCGAUCGAUCGAUAUGCAUCGAUUUGUAUACACAUAAUGAAAAAUAGACUUUUGAUGGUGAAUUAUUGCAUAAAUAGUUGAGCAAAUAUAGCAAAGUUUCUUUGCUGAAUAACUGUUGAGAACUUGCGACGUAAUUUUGUUUAGGAAGCUUGAUGACCUUCAAGUAGUCCUGACAGCUGUCGAGAAGACGUUCUUCUACGCGUUUCGACGGAGCUUUGAUUUAUUCACCAGUCACGUAUUAGAGGGUAAAUCCAGGAGCGUCACAAUUGAGAAGAGGAAAAGGGAGAAAUCGAGGAGGACAGAAAGUGCGGGAAAAUGGUUUCGUCGGCCAUUUUCGGUGCGGCUGCUGGCACCGGCUUGGCCUUGGUCUUCGCGAUGACGAUAGUCGUCUAUCGAUAUUACGCCGUGAAACGGAAGGGGAAGUACUGGAGCAAUUUAGAUCGUUGGCCUGAUCCACCAUCGACCGCGAAGAAACCGGAAGGUCGUCAGGAGAAUUGUCAGCAACACUGUCACGACAUGUCGUCGUCGCACGUGUUGAAUUGCUGGCGACAACAACAGAGGAAUUACUACGCGGUGCAGAUUGGGGAAUUCAAUGUGGCUAAAGAACAGCACGCCGUACAGCCAUGUUCGUCCGUGGUGGUUGAAUCAGCAGGUGGAUUACCACAUCAAAGUCGCAGUUACCCUGGUGGUAGCAGUGGAACCGGUAGCAUGGGACGAUUAUUUACAAGGAAUUCAUCGGUGAGUUCUCAAAGCUCUUUGGAGGGAGCUUCAGGACCUUCAGGACCACCCAGUCAUCGUGGUUCUUCUUCACAAGUUGGACGAUAUCAUCAUCAUCGUGACCCGUUACAUGCUGCCUCUUCUUAUCCUCCUAGCAGAAGUUCAAGAUCACCAUCACCUGGUCGCGCAGCAUCGUUAGACGCACGCAGUGGGAGUCCAGCCAGUUGUUCCGGAAGCCUUCUUAGCAGCAAUGCAUCACCAUCUCAGAGCUCACUGUCGUCUCUGGCAACAGGUGUGAGCUCUUCAUGUGGUGGUUCCUCGAUAAGCGUUGCCCACGGUGCUUCCAGAUCAGCUGGCCGAAGUUUAUCACCGCUUCUUAUUCCGCCGUCACGCACUUCCGGAAGCGAUGGUGGUCCACCUCCUCCAGCUUCACCUUUAGGUUCCAUACAACCUGACCUCUAUCAACGAAGAGAUGGUCCCCUUUACCUCAAGGCUCGCGGACACGGCAAAAGCUUGGGUCGACUACAUUUACGAUUCAAAUACGACUUCGAUCGAUCGGAUUUGCACGUUCACUUGAUCGAGGCUCACGAUUUGGCUGGAAGCGAUCAAGGAGGAUUUAACGACCCUUACGUGAAAUUAACACUCAGCCCUGAAGUGGAUUCGAGGAAGCGACAAACUCAGAUACAUCGUAACGAGCCGAACCCGUUCUUCAAUCAGCAAUUUAAAUUUCCCGUCAGCAGCGACGAACUUCAGGACAAGACUUUAGUGCUACAAGUUCUCGAUCAUGAUCGCUUUUCGAGAAACGAUAUAGUCGGUUUGGUUAAGGUGCCAUUGCAUCUUUUACAAUUGGACUCCCCUACAUCAACCGAAGAAGUUUGGGGCGAUAUUGAGCGUGAACGAAAGCCACCGGAACAAAUUCAAGAAGUUUUACUGUCGCUGUCUUAUUUGCCAAGUGCUGAGGAAUUAACGGUGCUCAUUCAGAAGGCGAGAAACCUAUUUCCACCACAGGAGAAAGAAACUUUAGAUUCCUUCGUGAAAGUAAAUCUUUUUUGCGGAGAGAAGAAAGUGAAGAGGAAGAAAACUUCUAUAAGAAAAGCGACGACCAGUCCUGUUUGGGACGAGGCGGUGCACUUUAAUGUUCCUGUCAACACUCUUGCGUCGUCCGCCAUUGAGGUAUGCGUAAUGGAUUCAAGCAACGAGUUCAUCGGCGGAAACGUGAUCGUCGGGUCCUGCAUCGUAGGUCCCGCCACAGGAGCGGAAGCAAGCGGCAGCCAAGGAAAAGAGCACUGGCUUCACAUGACCCAAUCGCCCAGGAAAACCAUCGCCAUGUGGCACGCGUUGCAUUAAAAUCAUUCUCCGCUAGAAAUGGUAAGAGAAAAUAUCAUGGAGGCGUUGCCAGUCGGAUCAGGGACGAGAAUCGCAAUCAAAUUUGUAGGAUAAAUAAUCGGUCGAGAAGUGGUAUAUGUAAACAAACGUAGCAGUGUGUUAUAUGUGAAACCGCUUCUAUGUACUCGAUGACCACUGACGAGGUACCGCAAAAAUGCACAUACACAAACACGUGUACACACACAUCGUUAUCCGCGAGUUGGAAGGAUCGAUCUAUCAGUAGCGAACCUAUUAAUAUUUCGAUGUACCAGGUUUUCCGUAAGUUUGUUUCAGAUAGCGCAGACGUGCACGUGAAUUGCCCGAUGGAGUGAACUGUGUAGGGUUUGUUUGCGAGCUGAAGGAGGAGAAUCGUGGGAAAUGGUAUAAGUAGGCAAGCUUUUUGAGGAAUAGUUCGGAUUGAAAUUUUUGAAACGUUUACUAAUUGGGAAAUUAGAAAAUUAAGAAAUUAGGAAAUUGGAAAAUUGGAAAAUUGGAUUAAUUGGACGCACCUGCAGUUAGAGAAUCUUGAAACCACUUGGGUUUGCAAACAAAUCUUGCACUGUAGACGACAGUGGUACUAUUGACAGGUCUGGAUUGAGAUAUUGGGGCAUGGUGUCGAAUUGUUGAAUUCUUACAUUUUUAAAUUCCCAUAUAAAUAAAUUUUUACAUUUCCUAAAUUCUCUUAUUUACAUAUCAUUGUACUUCUAAAUAUCCUCAUCCACAUAUCAUUAUACUACUAAAUAUCCUCAUUCACAUAUCCCUAGAUUCCUAAAUUCUAAAAAUAGCAAAUUUCUAAAAUUAGAAAUCUUGAAACUUAGG